rnacentral:rRNA from 1 species
AUGAGGCACUAUUUUGUGGAGAAUCCCACAUACCCGGAGUCAUAUUUUUGUUACCGGUUUAGGAUGAGCACCAACUUGUUCAGGCGCAUUGUAGAGAAACUAGCGAGCCAUGACCGGUUUUUUCAGCAAAGGAGGAAUGCCGUCGGAGAGCUUGGGCAUAGCACCUUUCAGAAGGUGGCAGACGCUUUGCGUAUGUUGGCAUAUAGUAUCCCGGCUGAUCUAGUUGAUGAUCACUUGGCUAUGGGUGAGAUCCAAGCCAUCAUGUGUGUCAAGCGCUUUGCAGUGGGAAUGUAA